rnacentral:rRNA from 1 species
UACAGGGGGUGCUAGCGUUGUUCGGAAUUACUGGGCGUAAAGGGCGCGUAGGCGGUUUUGUAAGUCAAGGAGUGAAAUCCCGGAGCUUAACUCCGGAAUUGCUUUUGAAACUACAAGGCUAGAGUGAGUUAGAGGAUGGCGGAAUUCCUAGUGUAGUGGUGAAAUACGUAGAUAUUAGGAAGAACACCGGUGGCGAAGGCGGCCAUCUGGGACUCAACUGACGCUGAGGCGCGAAAGCGUGGGGAUCAAACAGG